rnacentral:rRNA from 1 species
GGUUGACCUCGGAUCAGGAGGAUACCCGCGA